AGUGGCGGACGGGUGAGUAACGCGUAGGUAUCUAUCCCUGGGUGGGGGACAACUGCGGGAAACUGCAGCUAAUACCGCAUGACACCUGAGGGUCAAAGGCGCAAGUCGCCUGGGGAGGAGCCUGCGUCCGAUUAGCUUGUUGGUGGGGUAAAGGCCUACCAAGGCGACGAUCCAUAGCUGGUCUGAGAGGAUGAUCAGCCACACUGGGACUGAGACACGGCCCAGACUCCUACGGGAGGCAGCAGUAGGGAAUAUUGGUCAAUGGGCGAGAGCCUGACCCAGCCAUGCCGCGUGCAGGAUGACGGCCUUCUGGGUUGUAAACUGCUUUUCUACAGGAAGAAAAUGCCCUUGCGAGGGAAAUUGCCGGUAUUGUAGGAAUAAGCACCGGCUAACUCCGUGCCAGCAGCCGCGGUAAUAC
rnacentral:rRNA from 13 species